rnacentral:rRNA from 1 species
GACGAACGCUGGCGGCGUGCUUAACACAUGCAAGUCGAGCGGUAAGGCUCCUUCGGGAGUACACGAGCGGCGCACGGGUGCGUAACACGUGAGUAAUCUGCCCUUCACUUCGGGAUAACCACCGGAAACGGUGGCUAAUACCGAAUACGACCAGUCUUCGCAUGAGGUGCUGGUGGAAAGUCUUUUCGGUGAAGGAUGUGCUCGCGGCCUAUCAGCUUGUUGGUGGGGUAAUGGCCUACCAAGGCUUCGACGGGUAGCCGGCCUGAGAGGGUGACCGGCCACACUGGGACUGAGACACGGCCCAGACUCCUACGGGAGGCAGCAGUGGGGAAUAUUGGACAAUGGGCGAAAGCCUGAUCCAGCAACGCCGCGUGAGGGAUGACGGCCUUCGGGUUGUAAACCUCGUUCAGUACCGACGAAGCGCCCUGUCGGGUGGUGACGGUAGGUACAGAAGAAGGACCGGCCAACUACGUG